rnacentral:tRNA from 1 species
GAGGGUGUAGCUCAGUGGUAGAGCACAUGCUUAGCAUGCACGAGGUCCUGGGUUCAAUCCCCAGGACCUCCA